GUUACUUGCCUGGUCAAAACUGCAAAUCGGUGCAAGAUCACCUGUAGCUACUUCGUCCUUAAUUUGUCGCAGUUCCAGGAACUUACUCCUGUCAACUGUACCUGUCUAAGAAAUACUAGAAGCCGAGGUUACAUACAACUUAUUGUUUGAAAUCUUAAUGAAUUAGUUUUUAUUACUUUAACAAAUAUAAAAAAAUUCUUUAGCAACUCUUGUCUAUGCAUUUCUAGAAAGCAUUUGAAAAACAGAAUAAAAAAAAAUUGUAUAUAAAUACUAUUUUUUUAAUAAUGUUACCGCGGUAUGCAAGAAGAUCUAUCUCGAUAAUGACAAAUGAUCCUCCCGUCAAAUAGCUGUUGCUCGUGCAAAUCAUCUGAUCAAAUUGCUGAAGGAGUUAAAGCGGCUAAUCAGAGCCCAGCUUUGACUCUGUUGUAAUAUUGCACGAGACUGGAGAAUUAAACAGUGAAUUGCUACAGAUAGCAGAAUCGCAUUAAUGAUAAUAACGAUAAUAACUCAGGGAAACUCCAAUACAACGACCAAUAAUCUGGACGUGUUAAUGAAGAUAGGAUUACGUCUGCGCAUGAAGAACGAUCUUCUUUUAGCGCGAGAUAUUUGCAGAAAGUUAAAAAUAACACAAACUAGCAAAGACGUCAAAAAACCAUUUCUAAGUUAGCGAAUCAAGGUAAAAGAAAAAAUCAGAAAAGCGCGUACGACUCCAGUUAUUAAAGUUAAAAUUGGCGAACGCAUCAAUCUUGAGAAACUCGAAUGCACGACGCGAGUUCCUCGAGCUAAAAAUACCUCGAUGCUCAGGAUAAUGGUGAAGAAGCCUUAGAGAGUGCGGUGGACGAUGCCGAGGCGAAGUUUGUGAAUGGCGCACUUGAACAUGAAAUCGUUACUGGGAAUGGAUUGCUCGUGAAAUUUGUUCCGCUGGUAUUGGAUGUAUGCCAGUAUCCCGACAAGUAUAACAACGAAAAUGUACUCAGCAAAAUGAUGACGAUGAGCUCUGAAUUUUGCGAACAAACUGUGCAACUUUUGAUCACCAGAUUGGAGCGAUCGCCGAUUCCGGGAUCCGAUCAAAUAUAUGCUGAUUGGAUUAAUUAUCUCAAGAUAAUAUGAACGUGCGUAGAACAUGCGUUCGUAUGUUGUCAAAUCUAGCUGUUAAUGAAAGAAAUGAUACGCGUGAAGAGACAGGUUUCAAUUUACGAAGUCAUUCUUCGUUCAACUUUUUCAAAAAAGCAACAUUUUAUAUAAUAUAGUUUCGGAUAUAUUGUCGCUUUUCGAAAAUCGUCAUUUAUGAGAGGAAAAAGGAAAAGCAGAAGCUGGAUAAAUGGAUCCAGACUUGGAUGGAAGGGGAAAAAAGGGAUCAACAUUUGUCUUUAAUAUUAAAGGUUAAAAGAAUAAAUUAAUUUGUAAGAUCUGAAAUAUAUACAAUUUGAUUUAUAA